GAACUGAAGAGUUUGAUCAUGGCUCAGAUUGAACGCUGGCGGCAGGCCUGACACAUGCAAGUCGAGCGGAUGAGUGGAGCUUGCUCCAUGAUUCAGCGGCGGACGGGUGAGUAAUGCCUAGGAAUCUGCCUGGUAGUGGGGGACAACGUUUCGAAAGGAACGCUAAUACCGCAUACGUCCUACGGGAGAAAGUGGGGGAUCUUCGGACCUCACGCUAUCAGAUGAGCCUAGGUCGGAUUAGCUAGUUGGUGAGGUAAAGGCUCACCAAGGCGACGAUCCGUAACUGGUCUGAGAGGAUGAUCAGUCACACUGGAACUGAGACACGGUCCAGACUCCUACGGGAGGCAGCAGUGGGGAAUAUUGGACAAUGGGCGAAAGCCUGAUCCAGCCAUGCCGCGUGUGUGAAGAAGGUCUUCGGAUUGUAAAGCACUUUAAGUUGGGAGGAAGGGC
rnacentral:rRNA from 2 species